rnacentral:rRNA from 1 species
UACGGGGGGGGCAAGCGUUGUUCGGAAUUACUGGCGUAAAGGGCUCGUAGGUGGCCAACUAAGUCAGACGUGAAAUCCCUCGGCUUAACCGGGGAACUGCGUCUGAUACUGGAUGGCUUGAGUUCGGGAGAGGGAUGCGGAAUUCCAGGUGUAGCGGUGAAAUGCGUAGAUAUCUGGAGGAACACCGGUGGCGAAGGCGGCAUCCUGGACCGACACUGACACUGAGGAGCGAAAGCCAGGGGAGCAAACGGG